rnacentral:sRNA from 1 species
UACCCUGUAUGUGUGCGUGGGCGUGUGUU